UUUGCAGACACCCCCCUGUACAGAAGAUGGUAGAUUUGAGUGGUUCUGGGCCUGAUGCUCCACUAGAGCACGCCUUCGACAACAGGCUAUUCAUUAUACCAGCAGCCAUCAUACUUCUAAUCAUAGGUCUUGCUGGCUACAAGCUCUACUCCUCAGUCUCCUCAAGAGAGCGCGCUCGAGAAGAAAAACGGCAGCGGCGCAAGGAACGAAAA